GAGCCCACAUAUAACGGCCCCACUUAAAACUAACUUCGUCUUAAAACGAACGGUACCCGCGUGACCGUGGAAAUAUACAUUAUUUCAAUGGCACAAAAUCACACUUACAACGAACGCCUUUGAACCCUGCCGAUCGGUUACAGCGAACGGAGUCGGCCGGCGACUGCGGAGACACCCCUUUCGACCACCUAUAAGCCAUCGGCGAGCCAAACGCCGAUCCUGCCUCCGCAGGCUUCUCAUUGUCGUUCUCCCCGACAGUUUUUUGUUACGCACCCCUCCGUCCUUUGUCCCCCUGCUGCUCCGAGCACCCCGUAUCGCCAGUGGAGGCCCGUGAUUUCAC
rnacentral:lncRNA from 1 species